GUGCUCACUUCGGCAGCACAUAUACUAAAAUUGGAACAAUACAGAGAUUAGCAUGGCCUCUGCGCAAGGAUGACAUGCAACUCGUGAAGCGUUCCAUAUUUUU
rnacentral:snRNA from 1 species